GCUGCCUAUUCGUCGUUCUUCUUCUUGAUUGUCGUAUUUGAAUAAUUUGUGCUCAUCGUUGUCUAGGCAUUAUUGUUGCCUAUCGUUAUUGUAAUUUAUCUCCAUUUUAAACACACUUUCGAGUGGCAAGUGCAGCAGAGGCAACAACUUCAUUGAUCUACAGCGUGGAAGAGGGAAAAGUUGAGGGAAAACCCUAGAGGGCAAGCCCGAAGGGAAUGCCAGGCAGGCACACCAAGGAGCAGCAUUUGAUGGCAUUGUAAACAAGUGGCACCCUCUAUUACACUCUGCCACCCAGCAGCCCGCAGCAGCGCCGUUCUGCACUCGCCUCAAAUUGCUGUCAUUAACUGGAAAGUGCAGGGAAGCUACAACGAAAUUACAGCAACAAACGGAAAAGACAAAGAGCUCUCCUUCUUGUUGACCUGACAAGGACAACUAUUCCAGAUAUAUAUACUAUAAGGACAUGGCGUGUGUCACUCCUCCCCCCCCGCGUGUCUUGUCCCGCCCUUCUGACUGUCUGUCAGGGUGUUUUUAUAUAGUGCCCUGAUGUUUAUUUACACAGCUGAAACAAUUACAUUCAAGUGUGUGUGGAAAAAGCUGAGAAUGUGGAAAGUGGCGUGGUGUGGAGUGGAACCCUCCUCUGUAAAGACACAGAAAACAAGCUGAGAAAUUGCUGAGAGCAGCCCAAUAAAAACUACAAACGAUUUGCGCGUGCCAUGCCCGACAAGGAUAAUAAACAAGGCAGCUCUCUCCAGCUCUCCCUCUCUCUCUUCGAGACAAAAGAAACGAAUCAAAGGAAGAACUUAUCUGGACCGAAGGAAACUGGGGAAGGAAGCUGGGGCUGCCCAGCUGAAGAGUAAAGAAUGUAUUAUCCAAUGAAAUACAUGGCACAAAAAAGUGUGCAUGAAAAA